rnacentral:rRNA from 1 species
GACGGAGGGUGCGAGCGUUGUUCGGAUUGACUGGGCGUAAAGGGCGUGUAGGCGGUUGGUCAAGUCUGGUGUGAAAGCCCGGGGCUCAACUCCGGAAGUGCACUGGAAACUAACCAGCUAGAGCGCGAGAGAGGAGGGUGGAAUUCCUGGUGUAGCGGUGAAAUGCGUAGAUAUCAGGAGGAACACCGGCGGCGAAGGCGGCCCUCUGGCUCGUUGCUGACGCUGAAACGCGAAAGCGUGGGGAGCAAACAGG